GGACUACCGGGGUUUCUAAUCCUGUUUGCUACCCACGCUUUCGUGUCUCAGCGUCAGUGAAGGUCCAGAAAGCUGUCUACACCGCAGGUGUUCCUCCUGAUAUCUACGCAUUUCACCGCUACACCAGGAAUUCCGCCUUCCUCUCCCUUACUCGAGCCCUCCAGUUUCCGGCGCACCCUCCCAGUUGAGCCGGGAGAUUUCACACCGAACUUAGAGAACCGCCUACACACUCUUUACGCCCAGUAAUUCCGAACAACGCUUGCUGCCUACGUAUUACCGCGGCUGCUGGCAC
rnacentral:rRNA from 1 species